CUUAAUUGUUGUUUGACUAUUCCUAUAUAAACUUAAUAUCUAAAACCUUUAUUCCUUUCUUUUAGUUAAUCUUUUCUUUAAGGGAGUACUAAUUUUCUUUCUCUGUGAAAGCUUUUAGAGAGAUUUGUGACUAAAUGAUAAAUUUGGUGCCAGCUAUUGCGGUUAAACUAAAAUUUAAAGGAAUAUUAUUAAGAAAAAUAACUUAAUGAAACAGAGAGUCGGGAAUAGGUGAAAUUUUUGUAGUUACUAUUUUCUUAAUAUUAUUAAAAAAUGGGCAACGAACUAGGAUUAGAUACCCUACUACACCCUUUUUUCUUCUUCUUGGAAGAUUAGAUUUAAAAUUAAAAAAUUUGGCGGCUUUUUUAUUUAGAGGAACUUGUCUAUUUAAUUGAUACUCCCCCUUAAUUUUGAUUUUUAGUUCGUUUUGUAUACCAUCAUUUAAAUAAUUUUUUAAUAGCUAAUUAUUUAAAGUUCUUAAAGAAAGUUAGAUCAAGGUGCAGAGAUAUUAAAAUUUAGAUUAGUUACAAUACUAGAAUAUACGGUAAAGAAUUAAUAGUUCUAUAAAGGGCGGAUUUAAAUGUAAUAUAACUAUAUAUAUGAAAUUUAAUAAAUUAGUGUACAAAUUGCCCGUCACUCUCUUUGAGAUAAGUCGAAACAAAGUAGAAGUACCUGAAGGUGCUUCU
rnacentral:rRNA from 1 species